AUUGAACGCUGGCGGCAGGCCUAACACCUGCAAGUCGAGCGGAGCGGCGGACGGGUGAGUAAUGCCUAGGAAUCUGCCUGGUAGUGGGGGAUAACGUACGGAAACGGGCGCUCAUACCGCAUACUAUCAGAUGAGACUAUGUCGGAUUGGCUAGUUGGUGGGGUAAAUGCCUACCAAGGCGACGAUCCGUAACUGGUCUGAGAGGAUGAUCAGUCACACUGAAACGGAGACACGGUCCAGAUUCCUACGGGAGGCAGCAGUGGGGAGUAUUGGACAAGGGGCGAAAGCCUGAUCCAGCCAUGCCGCGUGUGUUAAGAAGGUCUUCGGAUUGUAAAGCACUUUAAGUUGGGAGGCGUUACCAACAGAAUAAUCACCGGCUAACUUCGUGCCAGCAGCCGCGGUAAUUC
rnacentral:rRNA from 1 species